rnacentral:rRNA from 1 species
UACGUAGGGUGCGAGCGUUAAUCGGAAUUACUGGGCGUAAAGCGUGCGCAGGCGGUUCGUGAUGUCUGAUGUGAAAGCCCCGGGCUCAACCUGGGAACUGCAUUGGAAACUAGCGGGCUGGAGUGUGGCAGAGGGGGGUGGAAUUCCACGUGUAGCAGUGAAAUGCGUAGAGAUGUGGAGGAACACCGAUGGCGAAGGCAGCCCCCUGGGCUAGUACUGACGCUCAUGCACGAAAGCGUGGGGAGCAAACAGG